rnacentral:rRNA from 1 species
GACGAACGCUGGCGGCGUGCCUAAUACAUGCAAGUAGAACGCUGAAGGAGGAGCUUGCUCUUCUGGAUGAGUUGCGAACGGGUGAGUAACGCGUAGGUAACCUGCCUGGUAGCGGGGGAUAACUAUUGGAAACGAUAGCUAAUACCGCAUAACAGUAGAUGUCGCAUGACAUUUGCUUAAAAGGUGCAAUUGCAUCACUACCAGAUGGACCUGCGUUGUAUUAGCUAGUUGGUGAGGUAACGGCUCACCAAGGCAACGAUACAUAGCCGACCUGAGAGGGUGAUCGGCCACACUGGGACUGAGACACGGCCCAGACUCCUACGGGAGGCAGCAGUAGGGAAUCUUCGGCAAUGGACGGAAGUCUGACCGAGCAACGCCGCGUGAGUGAAGAAGGUUUUCGGAUCGUAAAGCUCUGUUGUAAGAGAAGAACGAGUGUGAGAG